rnacentral:lncRNA from 1 species
AUGUUAUUGCUCCAGUGUGCUCACAUAAACCAGGAUGAAACAGCUGACACAUCACUCUGUGACAUCAGCUCACACCCACGUUUUUUCUCACUUUUAUAUCUAUGGGAAUGUCUGCUGGCUCCUGUGACAGUGUUUUCUAAUUCAAGCAGAAAACUUGAAAUGGGAAAAAAAAGAUGCAAAGAUAUUAAGUUGUCGUGUUUACGUCUCAUGAAAAAUGCAUUUAGUUUGGAAACUUUCUUCAUGUAUUCAGUUCUGUGUCUCUUACAGAAAGACCCGCAGGUAGAUGUGAUCCCAACAAUGACUUCAGUAGUAAACAUCUUCCAAUACAUAGUUCCCAUAUUGGCGGUGUCCAUUGCUGCUGUGCUCCUCUGCUUCUACUUACAUACAAAAAAGAAACGAUCAUCAUAUGACGUCUCCACUCCAUCACAGGAGGACACCCCAUCAGUGCUAAGGACUGUUUCUUUGUCUGAAGAUCAAGCAGCUGUGGACAGAUGUUAUGAUGGAGUCCCUCCUCGCUACAGCACUGUGGAGGCCCCACCACCAUACUCACUGUUUGACCCAAAGUUGACAAAUGUUUGGCCUGGUGGUCCAUCUCCAGCCUUUGAGAUGUAUCCCAUCACGCUGCCACUGGCUCCACACUUCUGGAGCCCAGCUCGAGCUUCUCCGGAGCCAACCUCAGUCUUCAACCACAUCCACCGUCCUCAGAGGCCCCGUAGGGCCUCCUCCACCUGAAACUCACAUGUGCCUUUACCUGCUUUACGUUUGUGUAAUUUAGGAUCACUAUAUACUGUAUGUUGGACAUCAUUUUUCUUCAUAACUGUAGACAGAAAACCUGAAAUUUAAUAAAUUAAACUUGAAC